UUUUCAGCAGUGUUGUCAGACAUUUCUCAAGGUCUGAACCCUACACCAUGGAUGGAAGUUAAGUCUGGAUUGGCAAACACAAAUCAUGUUCCAAGUUCUGCCUUCCACCUGAGUGAAAUACAUCACCGCUUUCCCUGCUCCCGCCGCCAUUAAAAUUGUGUUUGGCAUCUGACCACCAAGAUACAGAUAUUUCCUAGACUGUUUUGCAGCUAGGUACUUAGCUCAACAUUAUUGUGCAGUUGAAAAUAUUUGGCUCACCCCAUGGAAUUUGGAAAAUAUGUUGCUUCAAGUCUGUAGUACAAUGAAAUCAGGAUAAUUUCAACUCAGUCUGAUUAUCAAAG
rnacentral:lncRNA from 1 species